AUUCCAGUAAAUAAAGGUAUGGUACCAGCAGUUCCAGUUAAUAAGAAGAAAAGAGCUAGAGCCGGAGAAGCCUUUUAAAAGCCUCGAUCAUAAUUCGAAAUAACAUAAGUGAAGAUCCUUUCGUUCUACCCAACGGUCACCGAAAGAAAUUAAUCCCUUGAUUGACGAAAAGGGCAAGGAAGAGGACAAGUGGAACGUCUAUUGCUCCACUUUGUUAGUCUA
rnacentral:misc_RNA from 1 species